rnacentral:lncRNA from 1 species
GGGGGAAGGAGAAGGUGGGGAGGGGCAGUGGGGAGGGGCAGGGGGGAGGCCGCUUCCCUCCGACCAAGGUGCUGUCUGGGCCCUUCGGCACCACGAGGGACAACACAGAGAGCUCCCUGUCUCAUCUGCACCAAGGAGAUGGCAGCCUUCCUUUCAAGGGUUGCCCGUAAUCAGCCCUCACACUGAAGCUGAGCCAGGAGAGCUGGGAACGCUCCGAUCCUUUCAGCUGGGAGUACCCCAGUCUCUCCUUGAGAAGCCCAGGUAUUUUACUGUAGAGGUUACCUUGAGGACUGAAAGUUAACACGGCGCCUGGAUUCCGCCGGAAAGAGACGAAGGUGCGAUGGCCGUUGGCAGCAGGCACGCUGCCCUGGGGAGGACGCAGGCGGCCCCGCCAGGCCGGGCCCACCGCUCGGCCGCGUUCCCCAAGGGACGCGCCGACCCGGUAAUGACGCUGCACUCUUCCGCUCAAAGCCCCCACGGCUCAGCCCUGACUUGGACAGGCAGGAUUGCCCAGGGCUGGGGCUCAGGCAGCCCCUCGCCCUGAGCCAGGCGAGGCCCCC